UAAAACAAAAAUUUAAGUCAGUUAAAAUGCAAAUAUUAAAUAGAUAUAAUUAGAAGUUGUGUAGUAUAUGUUGUGGAUAGUAUAUUGUUGUGUGGGGUGAAAUUUAGAAAAUGAAAUAAAAGAAAGAAAAAGGAAAUAGAAAUAGAAAUAAAAUUAAAAGGAUAAUGAUAGAAGUUAAGAGAUAUAAAUCUCUUUUGAACCCACUUACGGGAACAUUCCCACAUACAUAUCCAUUCACCAAGUUCCCACACACACACAUACACUCACUGCCAUUCACACACAUACACGCACGACGAUAAGCUCUCUCCGGCGACCCUCGCGUCACCGGUUCACACGCCAGUUCUUUUUCCUCUCUGUGUUGCUGCUGUCCGGCGGAUUCCGGCGUUGUUAUCGCCGUUUUCCGGCGAGUCUAGGCUGGACUUAUCUCUAAUUAAUGUAAUACCACCUCAAGAACUAAUACGGGCAAGGAGAAGACGAAGGUGAAGGAGUAAGGCGAUUCCAAUAUCAAGACAUUUUGGAUUUUGAGACUAGGUGAUCGGGCUAACCCUUUUUACUGUACAGCUGCUCAAGUCGGGUCACUAGCGAAUUUUUUUGCGUGUGAGUAACUCCCUAGAUGUGUUAGUCGGGGCAUGUACAGGAGUAGAUUGCAAUAGGGGACUUUUUACUUCUUUCUACACGUUUGCUAAGUAUGUAUGUUUUUGUGGAUAGCUAAACAAACCGUGUAUAUGUAUAUAAAUAUAAAUAGUCUUA